CCCCAUCCCCACCUCAGUUUUAGGUAGGGCUUUUAAUUUAACCCAAAGACAUCUCUCAACUUGGAGAGUAAUUCAGUCCUCAACAGCGCCUCAAAUCUGCUAUGGCUUUGCAGCGCAGCAGCAAGAAUGUUUAAUAUAUAAUAGAUAAAAAUUUCAUCCAAAAAAUUAAAAUAAAAUAUUCUUGCAAACCCCCCCCCCAACACCAAUUCCUAUUCUAAUGUUAACCUACCACUUGUGCUGUUAAUACUUGACCAUGUACUUAAUUGGAAACCUAUAUCCAAAAGACUGAAACUGAAUCUUCA
rnacentral:lncRNA from 1 species